CCAGAGGGUCGGGCGAUCGCCGCCGCGCAAGCGGGGGAGGAAAGUCCGGGCUCCACGGAAACCACGGUGCCGGAUAACGUCCGGCGGCUUCGGGCAACCGGAGCAAGGGAAAGUGCCACAGAGAGCAGACCGCCAACGGCUUCGGCCCGGCGAAAGGUGAAAGGGUGCGGUAAGAGCGCACCGCGCGGACGGUAACGGACGCGGCACGGCAAACCCCACCGGGAGCAAGGUCGAAUAGGGAUGGCACGAGGUGACUCAGGGCUGGUUCCGGCCCCGCCGUCCGGGUUGACUGCUUGAGCGUCCGGGCAACCGGCCGCCUAGAGGAAUGAUCGCCCAUCCCCGGCAACGGGGUGGACAGAACCCGGCUUACAGACCCUCUGGCUUC
rfam:Sphingopyxis sp. MC1 contigEBMC1_16, whole genome shotgun sequence.